rnacentral:rRNA from 3 species
UUGACCUCGGAUCAGGUAGGAAUACCCGCUGAACUUAAGCAUAUA